AGUCCCCCGAGUAGCAGCACACGGGAAGCGCCAGCAGCCACCAUCGGGUCGUGCCGCCGCCGUGCUCUCCGCGCCUGCCGCGGGCCAAGUAGCAGAUACCACCGAGGAGUUGCUAGGACGGGCUUUAAAGCACACACAGACUAUCGAAGUAUUUUCCCUUUAAGGACCAUCCCUCUUUUUUUUUUUAACACCUGAAAAGUAAGUAUGGAUUAGAGUAAUUUUCUACGCUUUUUUCCCCCCAGUCUUUCUUAACUUUAAGUUAAAGAUUAGACCACAUUGCUCGACCGGGUUUGAUCAUUUGCACGGCUAAUGCCUUUGGAAUGGAUCAAAAUAAUCAUUUUGGACCAGACUGUUAAAAGUGUUUAGAGUGCUGCAAGUGAAAAUAGGCAGCUGAUGGGAUUUUGCGUAAUGCCUUUGCUCAUUCAUCGCGUUUGUUUGUUUCUGGAAGAGUAACUGCUUAGCACUUUUGAAAUUAUACCUGUGCAUCGUUACCUCAUUACUUAAAAGUAAAUGUCCUUUGAGCCGUGUUUCUAUGUAAUACUGUACUGCUUGUUUAAAUCGGUUUAGAAAUCAAAUCAGGUAAGUCGAUGAUUGUGCUUUUUGCUUGCUUAUUGAAACAAGGAAUUCUUGAAAUGACUUGGUGCCGUUGCUUGUGAUUUGCUACAUUUGAAUAGCGCUCGAGUAGCAGUUGCUUUGGGGAAGCUGUGGUGUAGCAGGAAGUGCUGUUGCAGGAUACGGGCCUAGAAGUUGACAAUAUGCAGAAAUCAUCCAGCAUGAUUACUGACAGAAAAUACAAUAUGCAGUGACAAACAGAGUAACUUCUGUACGUAAGAAAAUGGAAGUAAGUGAUGAUUUGUUUUUCAAAAGGCAGAUCAAAUUGAUGGAACUUUAAUACUCUAGUACGCCUUCCUCUGUUAGAAAUACUCCUACACUCUUCCCCCCAAAACAAAAAAAUUCUGUCCUGACUCGGUACACUUAGUACCAAUAUGAUGGUACAGAAUCUGUGUUUAAAAGUUUUCAAAUGAGAAAAUGUGAAGUUCCUUUGGAGAUUGUAUUCUUACAUUUACUUCUAUUUAUAUGUUAAUGAUACCGAGUGGACCACAAUCAAGUGUAUAUGUAAAUGUUUUCAAGGCUGAGAUGUAUCUUGCUAUUAUGCAUAUCCUUUAUUUUUUGAUUCCCUUGAAUUUAGCUAGGAAAUAAAGACAUUCCAGAAAUAAAUAGUGUAGUCUUCAUUAAAACAUCAUAUUUGAGUAUAUAUGUCUGUAGCGGCAGACACUAGAAAGUGCCUAAGGAAGAGUGCAGAGAUAGGACAUCGUAUGAUACCUUAAUACCCCAAAUGCAACCAUCUGUGGCUUUAGCACUUUCUGAAUCAGAAAUGGUAUCUUAUUUUUAACAGUUCUCAGUAGGUUUCUAUUCCACAAAUUUGCCAAAUCUUUUUUUUUUUUAAGUCCACAUAGGCUUUUGGCAUCUGCAGCGUACUACCGGAAGAGAUCCUUGCUCAGUGCAACUUGAGUAUGCAUUGUGUGAAAUGUGGUUUUGCUUAUUUAAAGUUUCCUAUCUGUCCUAGUUGAUACUCUUCUCAUUUUGGUAGGAACAAUGAACAGUUGCUCUCUAGUCACCUUCUGUCUUCAACUCAUGAUUUUAUAUCUUUCCUCAGUCCUGUAUUUUCCAAGCUGAAGAGUUUUAGUCUAGUUGAUUUUUUCACAUGUUACUAUUAAUCUCUCUCUUUUUUUUUUUCUUAUUUUAUUUUUUGAGCACUACUAUAUGCUUUUGGAUAUGAGGAGACCAGUAGUUACACACAGUAUUCAGGUCACAAGAGCAGUCAAAAUAAUGGUUUUCAUGUCAUUACCUAGUUCUUUCCUUAUAAUUCCUGUCAUUUAUUUGUUUUGCUUUGUUAGGGAAGUGAGAAAGCAGAUAAACUGAGCAUUAUUGAAUGUUGUUCUCUUCGCUAUUGAACAAACAUUGACCAUUGUUUUCGUAGCAUUAACUAUAUAGAUCCCAGGGUCUAUUUUCUGAUUGUUAACAUCUACAUCCACUAGAUAGUUUUAUAGGUAAGGAUAGGAUUUUUUUCUGUGUUUACAUUAUGGUUAUCUACAUUAAAUUUCACCUGCCUAUGCAAUCAGGGUUGUGAGGCUGUUUGCAGAUUCCCUCAGCCAGCUCUAUUUUUACUACCCUCAGUAACUUAGUAUCAACAGCAUACUUCACCACCUUACUAUUUUUUUGUUUUCAGAUUACUUAUAAUGAAUUAAUUAGCUAUUAUUUCAGUGGGAUGUCUGUGCAAAAACACCCUGAAGAAAUGUAUACACAAUUCAUUCCAAAAUGUAAUGGGAAUAUAGUUGUUCUCUAGUAGCAUCUCUGUUGCCUAACAGUACUCUUCCUGGCAUGUUCCAGGCCCCUGUACUGAGGAGAUUACAAUCUAAUCAUGAACAAUUUCAGAAUAAGGAAAACUUGGUUUGAGUAGUUUAGCAUCUAUCAUAAAUUAGAAGAGCGUUAACUAAAUUUCUCCUUGUGAUAGAAUAAUUUUUAAACGAAGAAAUAUCUUUUCAUUUACUAUUCCUUAAACAAAUACAGAAAAAUAUAAAGUCCUUCAUUUAAAUUAGAAUGAAUAAAUUAAUUUCAGGGUAAUGUAUUUGUGUUGUCAUCUUCCGGUUUCACUAACAAGAUAGGUAGUUUAGUGAUUUUGGUUGGUUCUUAAGGUACCAUAUGAUAGAAUACCUGCACCUAUGUAACUGUGGCUAUUGAUACUAUAGUCUCAACGUACAAACAGAUGUCUUCAGUUGCUAUUUGGUAAAUUGGGCUAUAAUAUUUCAAAGUGCUGAGUUACUGUUUUCAUUGUCUGUCCUUUGUUCCAAAACAGAAUAACUAGAAAGAACAGAGAAUAUAACCAUGACUUUCUUCACUCAAGGCUGUAUUCUUGGCAUCUUCUUUAGCCUGUUUCUCUCCUUUGACCCACACAUCCAGAACAUGUCUAGAUCUUACCACAUCCACUUGAAUAUUUCUAAGUUUUAAUCAUUCCCUUCUGUUUGCACUGCCCAAUUGAUUUAUUUAUUUAUUUAUUGUCAGUGCCCUGGCUGUUGUGUGCCCUGUAAUCUUGGUAUGUACAGGGAUCAGCUCUCUUCAAAAUUGCCGUGGUUUUCACCUCGAAGUACCUUUGUUGUCUCCUGUUCUUCAGACACGUCAAAUACAAACAUUUGAUUAUUCCUUCCUAAUUUAGUCCUGCGAUUCUGAUCAGUUUCUCACCACGUGGACAACUUUGGCAUCUGUUUAAUAACUUUGGACACAGUUGCCCAGCUCUCCACUUCAGAAAACCAUUUUGUGCUUUCUCAUGUAUCAGCACAGAAAGGUUAAUCAAAUUCUAGGGAGUCCUCUUUAAAGUUUCUCUUCAAGCCUUCCAUACUAUAUUCAUCAAAGUAAUAAUAAUUAGAUCUAAUUAUUAUUGUAUGUAAUUGUGCCCUGACUGUAAUCCUUGCCCUUUUUACAUGGGGAAAGAGAUUAACAAUAUGGUGCCUAACUUUGAAACUUUCACAGGGCAAUAUUUCAGGGAAUUAUGAGACACAUCAGUGCUUUCUAGAUUCUCCUUCUUGUGUAUUUCUAUGGCAAAAUUGUCUUGGAUAUGGUUGAUGGCUUUCUUGAGGACUGAACUUUAUCUUGGCCAAAAUGCAUUUGUUCUAUUUGAGAUUCAUUUUUAAUAAUGGACUUAGAUUUAAUCAAGUUCUUUAAACAAAGUAUGCUUUGAAAUUGAAAACAAAAGAUAUUUAAACCAGCUACGUAGUUUUAAAUAGCUUGGCUUUCUAAUCAUAAUCUGGGAUCAUUUCCAUAGAAAUUCUUGUGUAUGAUUGAAGAAUGGGUAAAUUGAUGCCUUGUUCAGGGAACAAUAUUCUACUACCUGAAUACUGGUGUAGUGUAGAGCGUAUGUGGAAAAAAAAAAAAAAACCCACCAGAGGACAUAUCAUGUGUUGGAGCUCUGAGUUAGUAAGUUCUUGCAUUUGCUGCUUUUCUUUCAUUUAUAUCUAUGAGGAAGUUGAUGUCUGAAUACCAUGUUUUGGAUUAUUUUUUCUUUGAAUAUUACAGUUUGAGAAGUUAAUUUGCAAAUUAAU